CAGCCGCCGCGGUAAAACGGAGGGGGCUAGCGUUGUUCGGAAUUACUGGGCGUAAAGCGCACGUAGGCGGCUUGGUAAGUUAGAGGUGAAAGCCUGGAGCUCAACUCCAGAAUUGCCUUUAAGACUGCCGAGCUAGCAGGUGAGAGAGGUAAGUGGAAUUCCGAGUGUAGAGGUAAAAUUCGUAGAUAUUCGGAAGAACACCAGUGGCGAAGGCGGCUCACUGGACCAUUACUGACGCUGAUGCACGAAAGCUAGGGGAGCAAACAGGAUUAGAUACCCCUGUAGUCCCUGUCUCUUAUAC
rnacentral:rRNA from 1 species